rnacentral:rRNA from 1 species
GCAGUCGAGCGGAAGGCCCUUCGGGGUACUCGAGCGGCGAACGGGUGAGUAACACGUGAGCAACCUGCCCCAGGCUUUGGGAUAACCCCGGGAAACCGGGGCUAAUACCGAAUAUGACCUCUGACCGCAUGGUUGGUGGUGGAAAGUUUUUCGGCUUGGGAUGGGCUCGCGGCCUAUCAGCUUGUUGGUGGGGUGAUGGCCUACCAAGGCGACGACGGGUAGCCGGCCUGAGAGGGCGACCGGCCACACUGGGACUGAGACACGGCCCAGACUCCUACGGGAGGCAGCAGUGGGGAAUAUUGCACAAUGGGCGGAAGCCUGAUGCAGCGACGCCGCGUGAGGGAUGACGGCCUUCGGGUUGUAAACCUCUUUCAGCAGGGACGAAGCGUAAGUGACGGUACCUGCAGAAGAAGCGCCGGCCAACUACGUGCCAGCAGCCGCGGUAAGACGUAGGGCGCGAGCGUUGUCCGGAUUUAUUGGGCGUAAAGAGCUCGUAGGCGGCUUGUCGCGUCGACCGUGAAAACUUGGGGCUCAACCCCAAGCCUGCGGUCGAUACGGGCAGGCUAGAGUUCGGUAGGGGAGACUGGAAUUCCUGGUGUAGCGGUGAAAUGCGCAGAUAUCAAGAGGAACACCGGUGGCGAAGGCGGGUCUCUGGGCCGAUACUGACGCUGAGGAGCGAAAGCGUGGGGAGCGAACAGGAUUAGAUACCCUGGUAGUCCACGCUGUAAACGUUGGGCGCUA